GACGUAGGAGGCAAGCGUUGUUCGGAAUUACUGGGCGUAAAGGGCGCGUAGGCGGCCUGAUAAGUCGGGGGUGAAAUCCUGUGGCUCAACCCCAGGGCUGCCUCCGAGACUGUCGGGCUCGAGCACAGUAGAGGCAGGUGGAAUUCCCGGUGUAGCGGUGGAAUGCGUAGAGAUCGGGAAGAACAUCGGUGGCGAAGGCGGCCUGCUGGGCUGUUGCUGACGCUGAGGCGCGACAGCGUGGGGAGCAAACAGG
rnacentral:rRNA from 1 species